AGAGUUUGAUCCUGGCUCAGAAUCAACGCUGGCGGCGCGCCUAACACAUGCAAGUCGCACGGGAAAGUGGAGCAAUCCAUGAGUAUAGUGGCGAACGGGUGAGUAACACGUGGGUAAUCUACCUCUUAGUGGGGAAUAACCCUGGGAAACCGGGGCUAAUACCGCAUAAUCCCGAGAGGGGAAAGCAGCAAUGCGCUGAG
rnacentral:rRNA from 1 species